rnacentral:rRNA from 1 species
UACGUAGGGGGCAAGCGUUGUCCGGAAUCAUUGGGCGUAAAGAGCGCGUAGGCGGCCCUGUAAGUCCGCUGUGAAAGUCAAGGGCUCAACCCUUGAAUGCCGGUGGAUACUGCAGGGCUAGAGUCCGGAAGAGGCGAGUGGAAUUCCCGGUGUAGCGGUGAAAUGCGCAGAUAUCGGGAGGAACACCAAUGGCGAAGGCAGGUCUCUGGGCAUUAACUGACGCUGAGGAGCGAAAGCAUGGGGAGCGAACAGG